CGUAGGGUGCGAGCGUUAAUCGGAAUUACUGGGCGUAAAGCGUGCGCAGGCGGUUAUAUAAGACAGAUGUGAAAUCCCGGGCUCAACCUGGGACCUGCAUUUGUGACUGUAUAGCUAGAGUACGGUAGAGGGGGAUGGAAUUCCGCGUGUAGCAGUGAAAUGCGUAGAUAUGCGGAGGAACACCGAUGGCGAAGGCAAUCCCCUGGACCUGUACUGACGCUCAUGCACGAAAGCGUGGGGAGCAAACAGGAUUAGAUACCCUGGUAGUCCACGCCCUAAACGAUGUCAACUGGUUGUUGGGUCUUCACUGACUCAGUAACGAAGCUAACGCGUGAAGUUGACCGCCUGGGGAGUACGGCCGCAAGGUUG
rnacentral:rRNA from 1 species